rnacentral:tRNA from 4 species
GGGUGCUUAGCUCAGUUGGGAGAGCGACGCCCUUACAAGGCGUAGGUCGGGGGUUCGAACCCCUCAGCACCCACCA